GAGACAGGGUCUCGCUGUGUCGCCCAGGCUGGAGUGCAGUGGUGCAGUCUUGGCUCACUGCAGCCUUGACCUCCUGGAUUCAGAUCUAUGGGGGCUGGGCCAGUGGAGUCUCCUGCUUCUGUGGCCUCUAGGGGGUUCAGUCAAUGGGGAACCUCAACUGGAGACCAGAAUGUGUAUAGAUGCACAAAUACUUGCCGUGGUGUUACGAUUGCCUGCAGUAUUCACACCAUAACAUGCACUGCAGGCUUGUAGCCUAGGAGCAGUCGACUCUACCGUCCACCCUGGGUGUGCAUUGGGCUGUACCAUCUGGGUUGGUGUAAGUGCACUCUACAAUGUUCCUAUGGUCAUAAAAUCACCUAACGACACAUUUCUAACGACACGUCCCUGUCGUUAAGCAAUGCAUGACUGUACUAACCUCUCCUGCAGUUGCUCAGAUGGGGCCAGCCCCCUGUUUGUGCUAGGGCCCUGGCUGCUAGGCUGGAAGCCUCAUACGUCUCAGUGCAUCUUCCCCUCCCAGGUCAUGGUGAUGCCCAAAUACGUUUGGCUGGAGCACCCUGAAGUCUGCUACCAUCCAAGCUGGUUUGGAGACGUGAACCAGACCAAUGAAGGGCAGGGUUUGGAUGGUCAUUUUCUCAUUAGGUUCCUCUCCUCCCCCACGCUAGAUCCCUGGGUGUCCUGCUGUCCCC